rnacentral:rRNA from 1 species
UACGUAGGGUGCAAGCGUUGUCCGGAAUUAUUGGGCGUAAAGAGCUCGUAGGCGGUUUGUCGCGUCGGCUGUGAAAACUCGGGGCUCAACCCCGAGCCUGCAGUCGAUACGGGCAGACUAGAGUGCGGUAGGGGAGACUGGAACUCCUGGUGUAGCGGUGAAAUGCGCAGAUAUCAGGAGGAACACCGGUGGCGAAGGCGGGUCUCUGGGCCGUAACUGACGCUGAGGAGCGAAAGCGUGGGGAGCAAACAGG